rnacentral:rRNA from 1 species
AGAGUUUGAUCAUGGCUCAGGACGAACGCUGGCGGCGUGCUUAACACAUGCAAGUCGAACGGAAAGGCCCAGCUUGCUGGGUACUCGAGUGGCGAACGGGUGAGUAACACGUGGGUGAUCUGCCCUGCACUCUGGGAUAAGCCUGGGAAACUGGGUCUAAUACCGGAUAUGACCAACUGUCGCAUGGUGGUUGGUGGAAAGCUUUUGCGGUGUGGGACGGGCCCGCGGCCUAUCAGCUUGUUGGUGGGGUAAUGGCCUACCAAGGCGACGACGGGUAGCCGACCUGAGAGGGUGAUCGGCCACACUGGGACUGAGACACGGCCCAGACUCCUACGGGAGGCAGCAGUGGGGAAUAUUGCACAAUGGGCGCAAGCCUGAUGCAGCGACGCCGCGUGAGGGAUGACGGCCUUCGGGUUGUAAACCUCUUUCACCAGGGACGAAGCGCAAGUGACGGUACCUGGAGAAGAAGCACCGGCCAACUACGUGCCAGCAGCCGCGGUAAUACGUAGGGUGCGAGCGUUGUCCGGAAUUACUGGGCGUAAAGAGCUCGUAGGCGGUUUGUCGCGUCGUCUGUGAAAUUCUGCAACUCAAUUGCAGGCGUGCAGGCGAUACGGGCAGACUUGAGUACUACAGGGGAGACUGGAAUUCCUGGUGUAGCGGUGAAAUGCGCGAUAUCAGGAGGAACACCGGUGGCGAAGGCGGGUCUCUGGGUAGUAACUGACGCUGAGGAGCGAAAGCGUGGGUAGCGAACAGGAUUAGAUACCCUAGUAGUCC